CGCCACAGGAGAGCCAGGAGGGCGGGAGAUCCCCGUACGAGGACCGGGCUGAGGCGAGGCAGUGGGGGAAAUGGAGCCGGGGUAUCAUUCAUUCUAUUUUAUUUAACUUUAAGCAGGGCUUGAUCAGAAAGAAGAGCUCAGAGGAGUGAGGCAACACCAACACCAGGGCGUACGAUACACCCGAGGCUCCUCCGACACCAGUUCCAGCCCGGAAGGGCUUGGAAUGGCCUGCCACGCCGGGGCAAUGGAGCGCGUGAAAGCCAAACCUUGGGACCCGAAGAGUAAUUUGACUGCGAAGGCACCGUCAUCGUCGGGCACCCCCUGUAGACGGGCGCAUAAUAGCUACAUCUCUGGAGAUAGUGAUGGAAACUGGGGUCCGAUAGAUGGAGAGAAGGACGUAGGAUAAGGCUUCUUGUGGGGUGAAGAGGCAGAGGGCACCUGGAGAGAGGUGUGGCAUGGAGAACCAGGGGUUUUCCCUAGCAGAGGGCGGCUUCGUGGACUUCGGCCAACCGGCGGGUGCUUCCCUCGAGCGGCCGCUAGAUGGUGGUGCUGUUCUGGAUGCUUCCAGUGGGCCCCGACCAGGUCUGGACAAUGCCUGGCGCCCGUCCCCCGCCCCUCAUCUACACACACGCAAGAAUUCGGAGUUCCAUGUGGAGAGAGGUUAAGUUUCGCCCUUGCCCGGGGAAUUAUGACACUCAGAAUAUCCCCUUGGUGUAAAUGGAAGACACCUGAGAAAAGAGAGAAAGUAGAUUCGCAGUGAAGCACAGCCAUCCAGAUGCCCUGUUUCCCCCUGCCUUC
rnacentral:lncRNA from 1 species